CCAGCCACGAGAGCAAAGGCCCACUCAACAUUGUCGAUCAUUCUCUCCCAAUCAAUCCCAAAUCCGGCACAACACCUCCGCCGCCGCCGCUCACCUCGCCGGCAUACCCUCCACGGCCGCCUCGUCUCCCCCAACUGCGAUACUCCAUCCCCUCCUCCCAUCUGCCCCCGUCCAUUCCCCACUCUCCCCACACGCAUCAGGUCGACCGCCACCGUCAAUGGGAGACGCGGCGCCGCCCAGGAGCCAUGGCAUCGCGCCCGGCUUGUUCGCUGGUGCGGUGCGCGCGCGGCGACACCGAUCUCGCCUGGCCGCAUCACCCUUGCGGCCGAGGUUGUUCGGUAGUUGCAGCUGACGGUCAGAACAUGACUACAACUCUGAACCUGACAAGGUCUGCCACGCAAGUUGGCAACUCUGGUUUCUCAUUAUCAUCAUCCGGUGUACCAUGACUCUGAUGGGCCAAUAGAACACCUCUGGUCCGCGGUGCCACCACCAACUUCAUGCUGCUAGUUGUCGCAUGUCCCGCUUAAUAUUCCGGGAAUGCAUAUGCUGAGGCCAAAUCUGGGUAGGCUGAGGUGAGGAUGUGAUGGCGGCACGCAGGUUGCAGGGGGACGAGCGGGUGAUGUCUGCCUAGGUUGUAGCAAGUCACGUGACCAAGGUGGUUUUGGACAGCACCAAGCGGUGGUUCCAGAACAUGCUAAAGGAGGCCUUCGCCGGCGAUGUCGCUAUGCAGGUUCUCAUGGUACAGAUGCGUACAACAGCGGAUAUGGCGACAAUAAGAAUGAACACAAGGCUUCACACCCCAGACAACUCAUACCAACAUCAAAUUCUCGUCAUCCUGCUCCAAAGCCAUCGGAAGCGUCAAGGAGGUAUAGAAUUUGGAACUAAAUCUGAUUGAUCCCCCUUUGUCAUCAGCUGCUUCCUUCUGAAAUAUUUCCUCAUGUCCUUGUCAAUUGCGAAUGCAUAUUCUUCCUUGCCAUGGUGUUGAUGUGGUAAGUGCUAGACUCGCUGUUCCAAUCGAUGGGGGCAUUCUACAGCUUGCUGCACGCCGAAGAAGUGUCCCGGCUGGUCUGAAAUCCUCAAGCACCUAAUUUUUUCGAGCAAUAUAAGGGAGGAAAACACAGAGGCGGGUGGCUGGAGCUCGUCUUUCUUCAUUUCAACCUCUGGUUGCUGGUUGAAGAGCUUCACCUCGUCCUGGUCCUCGCCAUCUCACUGUGUGACCAUGACCCUGGUUGCGAUCUCCUCCCUGUGGUGGUGGCUCCAGGUCAUCAUCGCUUGUUGCUCUAGGGUCAAGCACAUGGGAAGGCCUGUGUGGAGGUCGUUGUAUUGAUGCGCUCGAGUAUGUCGCGCCUGCGCCAAGUGCGCUUGGCCAAGGUCAAGCUACCGAGAGGGUUGUGUAUGUCCAUACUUUGCAGGGUUGCAGUGUAGAAAGUGUAGCUGGAGUUUGCCGGAUCUGGCGUGACCUGGCCGUGCGUUGUUGCGGCUGCUGGGCUAGCUGUGGUAUCCCUCGCCUCACACGAGGUGGUAGGCCCUGCCCCCCUUGGACUCUUCUACCUCCCAUUACCUCCAGGGGUACCACUAUCGUGCGAUGGCGGCGAGUUCAACGCACCUCUGCCAUGGUCUUGUUCUCCGCCUCGGUAUUUUAGGUGAGCCCCGACAUGGAACACUUAAAGGAGGUGCUAGGGAAAGUUGGAGAAGAUCUAGGAGCCCAAGAUGUCCGGUCUUGGACGAUAUGCAUGCACAUCACCUCCAGGUAAUUGGCAAGCUGAGCCUUUUUCGACCAGUAGUGCCGUGGCGCUGGCGAAGGGGAGAAGUAGAUUCCGCCUUUAUGCAGCAGCUGCAGCAGGGGAGGAGCAUUGCUGGCUAUGAGGGAGAGCCAUGGCUGUGGAAAAAAAUAAUGCUUUUAAAAACCUGAAUAGAUGUUGCUUCUAUGUUCUUAUCUGGGCAGACUAUAUAUGUUGGAAUAGUGUAGCUUGGUUAGUGUUUGGGUCAGUUUGGCUUCGGUGGCUGCUACCGUAUCAUUGCAAUGUAACUUCCGCUGUUUGGCUCUGGUCUGAUAUGCACUCGUUUUAUCAUGAUUUGUCAUCAGUUGUGUAGCUAUCGAUUAUGAUAUCUUCA